rnacentral:rRNA from 1 species
UACGUAGGAGGCGAGCGUUGUUCGGAAUUAUUGGGCGUAAAGGGUGCGUGGGCGGCCUGACAAGUCUGAUGUGAAAUCCCUGGGCUCAACCCAGGGCCUGCAUCGGAAACUGUCGGGCUUGAGUAUGGGAGAGGUGAGUGGAAUUUCCGGUGUAGCGGUGAAAUGCGUAGAUAUCGGAAGGAACACCUGUGGCGAAAGCGGCUCACUGGACCAUUACUGACGCUGAGGCACGAAAGCUAGGGGAGCAAACAGG